rnacentral:rRNA from 1 species
GCUGGAAUCGCUAGUAAUCGCGAAUCAGAAUGUCGCGGUGAAUACGUUCCCGGGUCUUGUACACACCGCCCGUCACACCAUGGGAGGUCGGAAAUGCCCGAAGUCUGUGACCCAACCUGAGAGGGAGGGAGCAGCCGAAGGCAGGUCUGAUGACUGGGGUGAAGUCGUAACAAGGUAAC